UACGAAGGGGGCUAGCGUUGUUCGGAAUUACUGGGCGUAAAGCGCGCGCAGGGCGGCUAUCCAAGUCAGUGGUGAAAGCCCCGGAGCUCGAACUCCGGAACUGCCAUUGAAACUGUUUAGCUUGAGGAUGAGAGAGGUGAGUGGAAUUCCCAGUGUAGAGGUGAAAUUCGUAGAUAUUGGGAAGAACACCGGUGGGCGAAGGCGGCUCACUGGCUCAUUACUGACGCUCGAGGCGCGAUAGCGUGGGAUCAAACAGG
rnacentral:rRNA from 1 species